rnacentral:sRNA from 1 species
CUAUCCAUGGGAAGAUCUACUAUCCCUAUAUAUCACGAGUAAUAAUCGUAAUAUAUAUAGGGAUAGUAGAUCUUCCCAUGGAUAG